rnacentral:rRNA from 1 species
GAUGAACGCUAGCGGCAGGCUUAACACAUGCAAGUCGAGGGGUAGGAGAAGCUUGCUUUUCUGAGACCGGCGCACGGGUGCGUAACGCGUAUGCAAUCUACCUUUCACAGAGGGAUAGCCCAGAGAAAUUUGGAUUAAUACCUCAUAGUAUAAUUGAGUGGCAUCAUUUAAUUAUUAAAGAUUUAUCGGUGAAAGAUGAGCAUGCGUCCCAUUAGCUAGUUGGUAUGGUAACGGCAUACCAAGGCUACGAUGGGUAGGGGUCCUGAGAGGGAGAUCCCCCACACUGGUACUGAGACACGGACCAGACUCCUACGGGAGGCAGCAGUGAGGAAUAUUGGACAAUGGGCGCAAGCCUGAUCCAGCCAUGCCGCGUGCAGGAUGACGGUCCUAUGGAUUGUAAACUGCUUUUAUACAGGAAGAAACACCUCUACGUGUAGAGACUUGACGGUACUGUAAGAAUAAGGAUCGGCUAACUCCGUGCCAGCAGCCGCGGUAAUACGGAGGAUCCAAGCGUUAUCCGGAAUCAUUGGGUUUAAAGGGUCCGUAGGCGGUCAGGUAAGUCAGUGGUGAAAGCCCAUCGCUCAACGGUGGAACGGCCAUUGAUACUGUCUGACUUGAAUUAUUAGGAAGUAACUAGAAUAUGUAGUGUAGCGGUGAAAUGCUUAGAGAUUACAUGGAAUACCAAUUGCGAAGGCAGGUUACUACUAAUUGAUUGACGCUGAUGGACGAAAGCGUGGGUAGCGAACAGGAUUAGAUACCCUGGUAGUCCACGCCGUAAACGAUGGAUACUAGCUGUUGGGAGCAAUCUCAGUGGCUAAGCGAAAGUGAUAAGUAUCCCACCUGGGGAGUACGAACGCAAGUUUGAAACUCAAAGGAAUUGACGGGGGCCCGCACAAGCGGUGGAGCAUGUGGUUUAAUUCGAUGAUACGCGAGGAACCUUACCAAGGCUUAAAUGUAGAUUGACCGGUUGGAAACAG